CGGUGCCAUAGACCAGGACACAUUGCCAGAGAAUGUGUUGGGGAGCGAGUGGCCCCUCAUUCUAGGGGCCUACCCCGUCAUGCUGAUUUACCAACGGAUGGUAGGCAACUUCGCUUUGGUCAACAGUCGGAAAACUAGUCCCCGCCGGGUCGCGGAGCCACGAUCCGGUUGGGGAGAAUUGCGGCUCAGAGAUAGAUUACAGUUCACGAUCUCUACCACAAUUGGUGUCUUCGUGUCCCCACUUAGAUGUCCAUAUAGGUGGGGUAGUUGUGCCUUGUUUAAUAGACACUGGGUCAAUGGUGUCUACGAUUACGGAGACCUGUUUUCGUAGACAUUUUGAACCAUGGGGGCAAGACCGCUUGAAGUCCUGUCAGUGGCUGCUAUUGCGUGCUGCAAAUGGGCUUUCUAUUCCAUAUAUAGGUUACUUGGAGUUGGAUGUUGAACUAUGUGGGCACAUGGUUUCUAAUUGUGGCAUUUUGGUUGUUAAGGAUCCCCCAGGAGGCAUUGGUGUCCAAGCCCCUGGCGUAUUAGGGAUGAAUGUCUUGGGGCGGUGUUACCAACAGUUGUUUGGGCAGCACGGUACCGCACUUUUUAAUUUCCCUUCUGUGGCUGGAGUACCUCCCUUUGUGAGGCAGGCCCUGCAACAGUGCCAUCAAGUAAGCACUCAUCCUCCUCCUGGUUGUUCAGGGUGGGUUAGGGUGAGGGGUCCUCGGAUGCAGCGAGUAAUAGGUGGUACUAUUACGUUAAUAGCGGCGACCUGCUCGGAACAACUUGCGGAUGGAGUAGUACUCCUUGAACCCCUUGAGUCCGGAUUACCGGAAAAUCUGUUGGUCUCGCCUGCGUUGGUUCGCGUUGUUAAAGGCACAGUCUAUGUACCAAUAGUUAACGUGGGUACUUUAGAUGUUAUGCUUUUCCCACGCAGGGUUUUGGGCACUUUAAGUAGCGUACAUGUGGUUAGUUUACCUGCAGGCGUUACAGAAGUUCGGUCUAACACAAUUACUGCAGGCUCGCCAGUUGCUUGCCCUGUGGAGCGAGCACAAAUAGAUGCGGUUGAGUUGGGUUCAUUACCUGAUGAGGAACAGAGCAAGGUUAGGGUCUUGCUACAGCAGUAUCAGUCAAUUUUUGCCAUCAAUGAAAGUGACUUGGGGUGUACGAAUCUCAUCUCUCAUGACAUUCCGUUAGUAGAUGAGACCCCCGUGAGGCAGCGACACCGACGUAUUCCCCCCUCCGAGUAUGAAACCGUCCGGGCACAUAUAAACCAGUUGCUGGAGU
ensembl:lncRNA